rnacentral:rRNA from 1 species
UACGUAGGGUGCGAGCGUUGUCCGGAAUUAUUGGGCGUAAAGGGCUCGUAGGCGGUCUGUCGCGUCGGGAGUGAAAACUCAGGGCUUAACCCUGAGCCUGCUUCCGAUACGGGCAGACUAGAGGUAUGCAGGGGAGAACGGAAUUCCUGGUGUAGCGGUGAAAUGCGCAGAUAUCAGGAGGAACACCGGUGGCGAAGGCGGGUCUCUGGGCCGAUACUGACGCUGAGGUGCGAAAGCGUGGGGAGCAAACAGG